rnacentral:tRNA from 6 species
GGGGCUAUAGCUCAGAUGGUUAGAGCGCAUCCCUGAUAAGGAUGAGGCCACAGGUUCAAGUCCUGUUAGCCCCACCG